rnacentral:rRNA from 1 species
AACGAACGCUGGCGGCAUGCCUAACACAUGCAAGUCGAACGAGACCUUCGGGUCUAGUGGCGCACGGGUGCGUAACGCGUGGGAACCUGCCCUUAGGUUCGGAAUAACUCCCCGAAAGGGGUGCUAAUACCGGAUAAUGUCUUCGGACCAAAGAUUUAUCGCCUUUGGAUGGGCCCGCGUUGGAUUAGCUAGUUGGUAGGGUAAAAGCCUACCAAGGCGACGAUCCAUAGCUGGUCUGAGAGGAUGAUCAGCCACACUGGGACUGAGACACGGCCCAGACUCCUACGGGAGGCAGCAGUGGGGAAUAUUGGACAAUGGGCGAAAGCCUGAUCCAGCAAGGCCGCGUGAGUGAUGAAGGCCUUAGGGCUGUAAAGCUCUUUUACCCGGGAUGAUAAUGACAGUACCGGGAGAAUAAGCUCCGGCUAACUCCGUG